rnacentral:lncRNA from 1 species
UUUUUAAUAUUAAGACAAGAUAAAAGAAACAUAUUAAAGAACUGUAAACACUGACUGUCUGCCUCCUGCUUGUGUAUUGGAUUUGGGAUUGAUUUUUGACACUAUCUCCUUCUUCUAGAUGUUAACAGGGUGAACAGGCAGUGGCUCUGGUGGCUAAUGUCCUUGAUGAUCUUCUAGAUGUUAGCAGGGUGAACAGGCCGUGGCUCUGGUGGUUAAUGUUCUGAUGAUCUUCUAGAUGUUAGCAGGGUGAACAGGCCGUGGCUCAGGUGGUUAAUGUUCUGAUGAUCUUCUAGAUGUUAGCAGGGUGAACAGGCCGUGGCUCAGGUGGUUAAUGUUCUGAUGAUCUUCUAGAUGUUAGCAGGGUGAACAGGCAGUGGCUCAGGUGGUUAAUGUUCUGAUGAUCUUCUAGAUGUUAGCAGGGUGAACAGGCCGUGGCUCUGGUGGCUGAGGUCCUUGAAGAUCUUCUUGACCUUCCUGUGACACCAGGUUCUGUAGGUGUCCUGGAGGGCAGGCAGUGUGCCCCCAAUGAUGCGUUGGGCUGACCGUAUCACCCUCUGGAGAGCCCUGCGAUUGCGGACGGUGCAGUUGCUCGACAGAAUGUGACAGAAGCUCGACAGAAUGUGCUCAAUGGUGCAUCUGUAGAA